UGGGGAAUAUUGCACAAUGGGCGCAAGCCUGAUGCAGCCAUGCCGCGUGUAUGAAGAAGGACUUCGGGUUGUAAAGUACUUUCAGCGGGGAGGAAGGGAGUAAAGUUAAUACCUUUGCUCAUUGACGUUACCCGCAGAAGAAGCACCGGCUAACUCCGUGCCAGCAGCCGCGGUAAUACGGAGGGUGCAAGCGUUAAUCGGAAUUACUGGGCGUAAAGCGCACGCAGGCGGUUUGUUAAGUCAGAUGUGAAAUCCUCGGGCUCAACCUGGGAACUGCAUCUGAUACUGGCAAGCUUGAGUCUCGUAGAGGGGGGUAGAAUUCCAGGUGUAGCGGUGAAAUGCGUAGAGAUCUGGAGGAAUACCGGUGGCGAAGGCGGCCCCCUGGACGAAGACUGACGCUCAGGUGCGAAAGCGUGGGGAGCAAACAGG
rnacentral:rRNA from 1 species